rnacentral:rRNA from 1 species
AACGAACGCUGGCGGCAGGCCUAACACAUGCAAGUCGAGCGCCCAGCAAUGGGAGCGGCAGACGGGUGAGUAACGCGUGGGAACCUUCCUGAUAGUACGGAAUAGCCCAGGGAAACUUGGAGUAAUACCGUAUACGCCCGCAAGGGGAAAGAUUUAUCGCUGUCAGAUGGGCCCGCGUAGGAUUAGCUAGUUGGUGAGGUAACGGCUCACCAAGGCGACGAUCCUUAGCUGGUUUGAGAGAAUGACCAGCCACACUGGGACUGAGACACGGCCCAGACUCCUACGGGAGGCAGCAGUGGGGAAUCUUGGACAAUGGGCGCAAGCCUGAUCCAGCCAUGCCGCGUGAGUGACGAAGGUCUUCGGAUUGUAAAGCUCUGUUCUAAGGGACGAAGGACUUGGCUGUGAACAAUGGUCAAGGGUGACGGUACCUUAGGAGAAAGCCCCGGCUAACUACGUG